CACCCACAAGUCUUUCAUGACUUUAGCAGCUCUUGGCACAUUUUCUGUGCACUUUUCACAGUUUUCAACUAACAAUGGUUUCUCGAGGAGGUAGAAAAGGAAGCGAAGAGGAGUCAAAGGCAGAGGCAGAUUAUAACAGUUGUUAAAUUGUUCCCACUAUUGCCGGUUCAUGCGUGCUAAGAAAACAGUUUGAGAUCCACUGUACCUGCUAGAUGGAUGUUUCGUAGCCCGCAACCAAUGACUGUUUAUGCGCGAUUUAUGAACCGGGGCCGGCCACUGCAACGGGCUCUGGCUGUUGGUGCAACAUGCAUGAGGCAUGACACGCCCCGCCCCCACCACUAGCAACUAGCAGCGCUUUCAUAACGGCCCACGCUGGGUGGCAGCUUCACUUCGU
rnacentral:lncRNA from 1 species